AUUGAACGCUGGCGGCAGGCCUAACACAUGCAAGUCGAACGAGUGGCGGACGGGUGAGUAAUGUCUGGGCAACUGCCUGAUGGAGGGGGAUAACUACUGGAAACGGUAGCUAAUACCGCAUACCAUCAGAUGUGUCCAGAUGGGAUUAGCUUGUUGGUGGGGUAACGGCUCAGCAAGGCGACGAUCCCUAGCUGGUCUGAGAGGGUGAUCAGCCACACUGGAACUGAGACACGGUCCAGACUCCUACGGGAGGCAGCAGUGGGGAAUAUUCCACAAUGGGCGCAAGCCUGAUGCAGCCAUGCCGCGUGUGUGAAGAAGGCCUUCGGGUUGUAAAGUACUUUCAGCGGGGAGGCGUUAGCCGCGGAAGAAGCACCGGCUAACUCCGUGCCAGCCGCCGCGGUAAUAC
rnacentral:rRNA from 1 species